UUGUCUACCAUUUUUAAAGAACAGACCCAUCAUUUUAUUAGGGUUUCGGGAUCCCUAUGCCCCAAAUGGUCGCCGCAAUGCCAAAAGAUUAGAGGAAAUUUCUCCCUCCAAAGGCCAACUUCUACGACAGAGGAAGAGUUACCGACGAUGGAGGAGCGAGUCAACUCAGGUAUUCCUCUCUCUUUUCUCUUUUUUUUUUGUUUUUUACACACAAAUAAAAGGAAUAAAAAAAAAUCAAAAGAACCAAACAAUCGAAAGGAAAAACUGAAAACAGCUUCAAAAUUUGAUUUGUAUUCAUAUUUUUGCGUCUGUUUUCUUGUGUAUUCCCUUUGCUAGUGUAUUCGUGAAAAAAAAGAAACGACCCCCUAUUCGCACACUUCCUUUACUGUAAGCAGUGAUUGAUGAUGCGCAGAUGCCAUGGCAAAUCAAAUCUCAAGGAUUGUCCGCUUCGACUUCGAGAUCCCAUCUUUACUUCGAUUGCAACGAAGAAGAUGGGCUACAAUCGCUAAGGUAAAUCCCUUUCUUUCUUUUUAUUUUCUAAAUGCGAUGAUGAAAGAUUUGAAGAAAUAAAUUACCAAGUAAAAAAAGAAAUUGCAGAAAUCAAAACAGAGAUUACUUUUUCAAAAAUGGCUUUCGAAUAUUUCCUAUUCAAUCUGCGUGUUUAGUAUGGGUAACCCCCAUACAAUGAGAAUGUUUAUGGCUUUAUAGCCGAAAAUAAAAAAGGAAAAUACAAAGAAUUUUUGUUGUUUUUUCUCUUUGUUGUGUUGUCCUUUUUGCAUCUGUGCGUAGGUAGGAAGGUACGGAGCUCGGUGGUUGAACGGCGCUGUGCUGGAGAUGAGGACGAGGGGUUGCAGUGCCUAGUAGCUAGGGUUUUCGCCCUUCAGCUGAAGCUUGUUUCAGUUUUGGGCCGUUUGGGCCAGGGGUAUUUUUGGGCUACUUGGGUUAAUUCGGUUUUGGGUUUUAAAUUUGGGUUUGGGUUUGUAAUGUUUUGAGUUUAAAAUUGGGUUGUGUAAUUUGGACUUGUGGACUGUAUUAUUUUUUGUUUUGGGAUUGAUUUUUGGUUGUUAGGCCCGGGCGGAUUUGGCCCAUUACAAAGCCAAAUCAAAUAUAAGUUCAAAAGAAAAAGAAAUCACCACUACAAGGUUUGAUACAUCUUCAAUGUCAACAACAUUUUCUAGAAACGUAAAAAACUUCAUCAAAUAGCAAACAAACAUAUACUUCUUAUAUAGCAUAAGAACAACAAUCCCAACACAUCAUAAAAACCAACACUCAAACCAAUAGCUUCCCUUUUUUUUCAACAAACUUGUCAAUCAUAAUCUCUUGAUUAGACCGAAGAAAAACGAAUGUUGAAGAAUAUGGGGAUUAAAA
rnacentral:lncRNA from 1 species